rnacentral:rRNA from 1 species
UGGGGAAUAUUGGACAAUGGGCGAAAGCCUGAUCCAGCCAUGCCGCGUGAGUGAAGAAGGCCCUAGGGUUGUAAAGCUCUUUCACCGGCGAAGAUAAUGACGGUAACCGGAGAAGAAGCCCCGGCUAACUUCGUGCCAGCAGCCGCGGUAAUACGAAGGGGGCUAGCGUUGUUCGGAAUCACUGGGCGUAAAGAGCGUGUAGGCGGAUAGCCAAGCUAGGGGUGAAAGCCCGGGGCUCAACCCCGGAACUGCCUCUGGAACUGGCUAGCUGGAGUCUUGGAGGGGAGUGCGGAAUUCCUAAUGUAGAGGUGAAAUUCGUAGAGAUUAGGAGGAACACCAGUGGCGAAGGCGGCACUCUGGACAAGUACUGACGCUGAGACGCGAAAGCGUGGGGAGCAAACA